GACGAACGCUGGCGGCGUGCUUAACACAUGCAAGUCGAACGGUGACCUGGGGAGCUUGCUCCCUGGUGAUCAGUGGCGAACGGGUGAGUAACACGUGAGUAACCUGCCCCAGACUCUGGGAUAACUUCGGGAAACCGGAGCUAAUACCGGAUAUGACGCGGAGACGCAUGUCUACCGUGUGGAAAGUUUUUCGGUCUGGGAUGGGCUCGCGGCCUAUCAGCUAGUUGGUGAGGUGAUGGCUCACCAAGGCGACGACGGGUAGCCGGCCUGAGAGGGCGACCGGCCACACUGGGACUGAGACACGGCCCAGACUCCUACGGGAGGCAGCAGUGGGGAAUAUUGCACAAUGGGCGAAAGCCUGAUGCAGCGACGCCGCGUGAGGGAUGACGGCCUUUGGGUUGUAAACCUCUUUCAGCAGGGAAGAAGCGCAAGUGACGGUACCUGCAGAAGAAGCACCGGCUAACUACGUGCCAGCCGCCGCCGUAA
rnacentral:rRNA from 1 species